CGUCGAAGAAACCGACACCGACACUGACGACGAUAAAGUCGAAUGUGUAUAGUAUUUUUAAAGCUUUUAAGACUUUGCUUUUGUAUUUAUUCUUGAAUUUUAACUUACAUAUGUUUGUAAUUGCGCCGUUUUCUUUUGCCUGUGCAUCGUACUUCGUUCACUCGUACAAGAUAAAAUGAAAUAAAACUCAAAUAUUGUCAAGGUGCGGCUGCAGACAUACUUAUUUAGGUGUAGGAGGCAGCUGUAGUAGUAGUAAUACAUAUUAUUAGCAGGCGUAGACGCAUCAACCAUGUCAAUAACCCGGAAAGAAAAAUGUAAUUAAAGGAAGCAAAGUCUCGAAGUUCACAUACACACAAACAACGACACUUGGGCGCUCUCCCACUCUCAAACAGCACACUCAAGCACGUUCACUGUUCAUUCAGACUAGAAAACCCAUAUGCGCUCUAAAAAUCCUCUGGAUAUUACUUUUCCAUUCAAUCGAAUGCAGCCAGGCGUUGGAAGAGUUGACGUAAUCAACCGAUGAGGCGAAUUACUCGGAAAGUUAAUAAGCGGCAAUGAACGAACAAAUAAUCAACGUAAAAGUUCUUCGAUGAGUUGUAUAAAGCUGAAUUCUGUCGAGAAGAACAGCGAUGAGUGGAUGAAAGCGAGAACACUUUGAAGGUGAUGACUGGCGAGUAACUUAUGGGGAACGAGGAAUGACUGGCUAUAAGUAUGAAAACAAAAGCAAAAAUACAAACAAUUCGAUAAAAACCCCACGAUUGACGCAGUUUAAUAAGAAUUUACAACAACGCCAGCCACAAGAACAAAAAUAAAUAAAAUUGCAUCAGUAAAACGCUAAUAUUGUCGGCAAUGACAACAUCGCAAAAUAAAUAAAUAUACAUACUUACACGAUAUGUCCAUACGUAAACAUGUAUAUAUGUAUCAAUACACAAAUGUAUAUAGCUAGUAUAUAGUGUACAAUGCUAGUACCGAUACUACAUACUUAUGUAUAAAUGAGAGAAAAGUCGACAGGUUAAGGAAUGCUAUACAAAAAUCGAGAGACGCGACUUUUUCGUCGUAUGGCUUUAUUUAUAUUGCAAGACCGAGACUAUUGAAAUUCACUGAUUGAGCGAUCGGGAAGAUUGUGUAAGGUCUGCUAUACAUAUUCUUAUAUUUGGUCACUCGAAGAGGUAUUUUUCCUCGGAGAAGAGAUUCAAAGUACCUCCCCUCAAUCUCGGCAGAGAAAAAGUGGGUACUUUUGUUUUCCUGGCC